UGGGGAAUUUUGGACAAUGGGCGAAAGCCUGAUCCAGCAAUGCCGCGUGUGUGAAGAAGGCCUUCGGGUUGUAAAGCACUUUUGUCCGGAAAGAAAUCCUUGGCUCUAAUACAGUCGGGGGAUGACGGUACCGGAAGAAUAAGCACCGGCUAACUACGUGCCAGCAGCCGCGGUAAUACGUAGGGUGCAAGCGUUAAUCGGAAUUACUGGGCGUAAAGCGUGCGCAGGCGGUUUGCUAAGACCGAUGUGAAAUCCCCGGGCUCAACCUGGGAACUGCAUUGGUGACUGGCAGGCUAGAGUAUGGCAGAGGGGGGUAGAAUUCCACGUGUAGCAGUGAAAUGCGUAGAGAUGUGGAGGAAUACCGAUGGCGAAGGCAGCCCCCUGGGCCAAUACUGACGCUCAUGCGCGAAAGCGUGGGGAGCAAAACAGGAUUAGAUACCCUGGUAGUCCACGCCCUAAAACGAUGUCAACUAGUUGUUGGGGAUUCAUUUCCUUAGUAACGUAGCUAACGCGUGAAGUUGACCGCCUGGGGAGUACGGUCGCAAGAUUAAAACUUAAAGGAAUUGACGGGGUCAUAGCUGUUUCCU
rnacentral:rRNA from 1 species